rnacentral:rRNA from 1 species
UACGUAGGGACCAAGCGUUGUUCGGAUUUACUGGGCGUAAAGGGCGCGUAGGCGGCAAUUAAGUCAGCUGUGAAAUCUCCGAGCUUAACUCGGAACUGUCAGCUGAUACUGAUGUGCUAGAGUGCGGAAGGGGCAAUCGGAAUUCUUGGUGUAGCGGUGAAAUGCGUAGAUAUCAAGAGGAACACCUGAGGUGAAGACGGGUUGCUGGGCCGACACGUGACGCUGAGUGCGCGAAAGCCAGGGGAGCAAACGGG